AGCUAUAGCCAUUUCAUCCUGCAUCCCCAGACUGGUUAGUCACUAAAGCUAAGCAAGGCUGAGCCUGGUCAGUACCUGAAUGGGAGACCACAUGGGAACACUAGGUUGCUGUCAGAA
rfam:Danio rerio chromosome 4, GRCz11 reference primary assembly.